rnacentral:rRNA from 1 species
ACGAGGGGGGCGAGCGUUGUUCGGAAUUACUGGGCGUAAAGGGCGCGUAGGCGGCCCUCUAAGUCAGACGUGAAAUCCCCCGGCUUAACCUGGGAACUGCGUCUGAUACUGGAGGGCUUGAGUAUGGGAGAGGGAUGUAGAAUUCCAGGUGUAGCGGCGAAAUGCGUAGAUAUCUGGAGGAAUACCGGUGGCGAAGGCGGCAUCCUGGACCAUUACUGACGCUGAGGCGCGAAAGCUAGGGGAGCAAACGGGA